UACCGAGGGUGCGAGCGUUGUCCGGAAUCACUGGGCGUAAAGGGCGCGUAGGUGGCGACCCAAGUCGAUGGUGAAAGCUCGCCGCUCAACGGCGAGUCGGCCACCGAUACUGGGUUGCUCGAGCACUGUAGAGGCUAAUGGAAUUCCGGGUGUAGCGGUGGAAUGCGUAGAGAUCCGGAAGAACACCGGUGGCGAAGGCGGUUAGCUGGGCAGUUGCUGACGCUGAGGCGCGACAGCGUGGGGAGCAAACAGG
rnacentral:rRNA from 1 species